UUUAUUGUGUUCUGCAGUUACAUAAAAGAUUCGAUAUAUUGUUGACCUUGGCUAAAAACAGUUGAAAACCUCUCUCUCUCUCUAUCUCAACUCAAUCUAUCUGUAUUCGUCAUCUGUUUCCGUGAUCUAUUUGGCUCCAUCUGACAUCUCGAUUUUAUAAUUUAUGCUGAGCAAGUGCUUGAUAUUUCCACGACAUAUUACAAUUCUCCUGUGUUUGAAGUUGUGUAUUGUGGGCUUGUGGACUUCAGCUUGCUUAUCUCAGUUAUAAGGCAGGGAUAGUUUGGAGAGGAUUGUCUGGACCGAACAUAGACUGAUAUUGCUGUAUUGGGAUAGACUACUAGAGCGUUUAGACUGGAAAAUAUUGGCGCACGGUUCAGCGCCCUUCGUCUUUGUGUAGCAAGCAGGGUGCAUAAGGUCACACCCCGUCAAGCUUCUACA